rnacentral:lncRNA from 1 species
GUGCUUAAAUCCGGCUCUACUGCUUUUUUCCCACCCCAACAGCUCUCUAUCAGUAGCCAAUCAAUGUUAUAUAAUUUUUUGGCCCUUCUGUGUGUGGCUGUGCAUGCGUGCAUGUGUGUACAUGUUCACAGUUCAAGCUGGACUCCUCUGGCUCUGCAUGUGUGUACACUUCUGGCAUCUGAGGGAGGCGUGUCCAGAUCCCCUUGCCAGGCAGCUGCCUUAUAGGAGCACUGGAAGCCAGGUAGCUGACUUUCCUCCGGGGGAAAAAAGAAAGAACAAAAGAAGGAAGAGGAGAGAGAGAGAGACAGAGAGAUGAGAGGAAAGGAAGGAGAAGACAGAAGCCAGGCAUGUGGCCGAGGGCCCCGCGCGCGGACUCGGCCGGGCUGGGCAGCGGCGUCCCGGCGGGCGGGCGGG